rnacentral:rRNA from 1 species
AACGUAGGAGACGAGCGUUAUCCGGAUUUACUGGGCGUAAAGCGUGUGCAGGCGGUUCGGCAAGUUGGAUGUGAAAUCUCCCGGCUCAACUGGGAGGGGUCGUUCAAUACUACCGAACUUGAGGUCAUCAGAGGAAGGUGGAAUUCCGGGUGGUAGUGGUGAAAUGCGUAGAUAUACCGGCAGGAACACCAGUGGCGAAGGCGGCCUUCUGGGAUGAUCCUGACGCUCAGA